rnacentral:rRNA from 1 species
GAUGAACGCUGGCGGCGUGCUUAACACAUGCAAGUCGAACGGUGAACGAGGGAGCUUGCUCCCUCCGGAUCAGUGGCGAACGGGUGAGUAACACGUGAGCAAUCUGCCCUGGACUCUGGGAUAAGCGUUGGAAACGACGUCUAAUACCGGAUACGAGGCGUGGGGGCAUCCCCAACGCCUGGAAAGAACUUCGGUCCAGGAUGAGCUCGCGGCCUAUCAGCUUGUUGGUGAGGUAACGGCUCACCAAGGCGACGACGGGUAGCCGGCCUGAGGGGGUGACCGGCCACACUGGGACUGAGAACCGGCCCAGACUCCUACGGGAGGCAGCAGUGGGGAAUAUUGCACAAUGGGCGCAAGCCUGAUGCAGCAACGCCGCGUGAGGGACGACGGCCUUCGGGUUGUAAACCUCUUUUAGCAGGGAAGAAGCGAAAGUGACGGUACCUGCAGAAAAAGCACCGGCUAACUACGUGCCAGCCGCCGCAGUAAUAC